GUCUUUUUGAUAAUAAUUUAAAGUCUGGCCUGCCCAAUGAUAAUUUAAAUGGCCGCGGUAUUUUGACCCUGCAAAGGUAGCAUAAUCAUUAGUUUUUUAAAUGAAAGCUUGUAUGAAAGGUUGAACGAGAAAAUUACUGUCUCAAUUUUAUUUAAUAAAAAUUUUAUUUUUAAGUUAAAAAGCUUAAAUAAUUUUAAAAGACGAGAAGACCCUAUAGAGUUUUAUAUUUUUUAUAAUAAAUUUUUAAAUUAUUAAUUAAAUUGUUAAAAAUAUUUUAUUGGGGUGAUAAAUAAAUUUAUAAAACUUUAUUUAUUUUAAAACAUUUAUUUAUAUAAUUAUGAUCCAUUUUUUUUUGAUUAUAAGAUUAAAUUACCUUAGGGAUAACAGCGUAAUUUUUUUUGAGAGUUCAUAUCGAAAAAAAAGAUUGCGACCUCGAUGUUGGAUUAAAGUUUAUAAUUGGUGUAGAAGCUAAUAAAUUAAGUCUGUUCGACUUUUAAAACUUUACAUGAUCUGAGUUUAAACCGGUGUAAGCCAGGUUGGUUUCUAUCUUUAAAUAAUUAAGAUAUUUUAGUACGAAAGGACCAAAUAUUUAUAAAAUUUAUUUAAUUAUGAAUAUUAUUGUUAUUUUGGCAGAUUAGUGCAUUAAAUUUAGAAUUUAAUUAUGUAAUUUAUUACAAAUAAUACUUGUUUUAUAUAGAUUUAAUUUUAAUAUUAAUUAGAAGUUUAUUAUUAAUUAUUUGUGUUUUAAUU
rnacentral:rRNA from 1 species